GAAAUAGUUUUUUUUGAAAUUAUUAUAUUGACUAAUAAUUCGGAUUUUCAGUUCAGUUCAGUUUAUUUAUACAGCACCAAUCUGCAGCAUGUUUUUUGUAAGGCAUUUUACAUAGUGAGGUGAAGACCUUCAAAAUUAUAAAGAGAAACACAACAAAUCCAAAGAUUCCACUGGAUUCACACUUGACAACAGUACAGAAGAAAAAAACUCCCCUCUAACAGGAAGAAACCUCUGGAAGAACCAGGCUAGGGGAGGGUGGCCAUCUGCCUCAACCGGCUGGGGUAACGGUAAAGCAGAAAUAGAAAAGGAUAGCAGAUAGAAAACACAAAAAUACAAAUUACAGGAAAAGUGAUGGCAUGCAAUUGUGGCUUAUAAGUGUAUAUAGAGAGAAAGAGAGGUGGCCUAUAGCUGCAUAACUAAGAAUGGUUCAGAGUCACUUAUGCCAGUCGUACCUAUACGAUUCAUCAAAAAGGAACAUUUUUAGUUUAAUCUUAACAGACAGCAUGUCUUGUAGCUUUAGUUUUAAAAAAGCUCUACAAGUAAAGAUUAUGUUUUCUGUAGCAAUAGCAAAUAAAUGAAUAAUCUGAAUAACAGAAUCCAGAAUGCUGUUUGCCUUAACAACCCUCUGAACCUCAAGCACUUGCUAGAUGUUUUUUGCUCCACAUUUUUACUCACUUUGGGCUCAUUUUUCCCUGCAAUAAAAAGUCCUGUACCUCUAUGGAAACAGCACAGCCAUGGCUAGAAGUAGAAGGAACUCAAAUGUCCUCCGUGCAGUAUUACGCAGCUAUGACAUAUUUCAUUAAAAAUAAAGGUUGGAUUUCUUUGUUUUUCUUUUUUCAUCAAACUGCGCAACGUUUUUUUUCAAGUGUCCACAUGUGUCACCAAUGCAAAGAAAAAAUGGUGACUCUAUAUAAUAUUGAUAUUUUAAUACAUAAUUUUAUUUAAAUUUUGUUUAUAAUUACUCUAUAGUCCUCUUUGCUUUGUGUAAACUCAGCAUGUAGUUGAGUCUGAAUUUUUGUCAUGUCAAUUUUGGUUGCAGCUGAGUCACUAAAGAUUUUAUGACUGUGCAAAGAAGUGCUGAAUUUUUUUGUUUUGACAUAAUCUAGUUAGUGAAACGGUUCAGUUUUGGUCGUUUUUUUAACAUAAGUCAUGUAGAAUAAAGUGAUUUUGAUGAAAUAUCAAGUUUAGCACCACUGGAAAGUUGAAAAUCUGAUGAGUCGUUCUGUUUUUACAGUUUCUGGCUCUUAUAAAUUGUGUUAUUUUGAAGUUUUUUUUAACAUACUAUACCUUCCAAACUUGCCAGCAGGUUGUGGAGUUCAAUCCUCUGAACUUUCUAGAAAUUACCAAGGACAUAGCCUAAGUGUUGUGAGGGGUAGCUUUGGCCUUGAUGAGUUGUUCAGUGGAGGAAGUUGGACAAGUGAAUCAAAGAGCAGAUACAGUCGCUGGUCAGGUCUGUACGCUGCACUCCUUAAUGAGGCCAGAGAGGGGUUACUACAGGUCAGCUUACACCACUGACACAGAUUACCCAUGCAGAGGAAACUCCUGCUGCUCUACUGGGAAGAAUUCUGCAAGCACUGAGGACAGAAGAAGCUACACUCAACUAUGUAAUCUCAUUGUCUCCCCAACACGGAAAGCGGCUAUUCAGAGGUGGCCAGAAACUUGGCAGCGUAUGCAUGGCGAUGAGAAGAAUGGCCACUUGUAGUCACAGUGUUCAGUAGGCUGGACACAGCACACGGGGCAGGACUGGGAGGAUUUAGCUUCUUAUAGUGUGGGAAAGACGGAGGACAGAUGAGGGGAAUCCACCUCUUGUUUGGAUUAAAGACCCACAGUUGGUCGAAGGUUUAUUGACAGACUCUAUUUAUAGUCUUUGAACUACUGACCGACUAGUGUUGGCCUGACACAAACGGUGUCCUCCCUCGCCAUCACCUGCCUGUCAUGCCAGCAGCAGCCUUCAGUCACGGUUGGUCCACACACCAUCGAAUGAUGCCUCUACGUAAUGACAUCACAACUUAAACCGGAUUAUCCCGAGGCGAGUGACAUCACCGCCCCCACCUCCCCUCAUCAUCUCGGACCAUCUGGGGGUUACUACAGGACGCCGGGUUCAAUGGUCACACUGGCUGUUGCUGCUGCACGGUCGGCUCCGGCCUGCACCGUCACCCUGCAGCUGUCACCUGGAACUGACCCAUCACAGGGACCGCACUGUUCCCACGAUUAAGGCUGACAUAUCUGAAUAGAAAUGUGGGACUGCAUUCAAAGUAGGGAAGAAAGAAAAGCAAGUUCUCUGUGGAGAUAAAGUGGUAGUUGUGGGCUUCAAAAUGACCAGCUGAAACAUCUGAGAGGUUUAGUUCAGUCGUUUAUUUUCCCUUUUUUCCACACGUGACACAGAAUUAAAACACUUUAGGCCCUUCACUGUCUGAGUUUCGUACAAAAGAGCUUACAAAAGAGUCCCGUAAAAUAUUUAUCUCAUGUUACAACACAUUGGGUACAAAUCACUGCAUGCAAUAAAACAACGUAUUACGUUUUUUUUUCCUUUAAAAAAAGGACAACACCUGGCUGAUCGUUCGCAGUGCUGGGAUGAUUUGCUCUUUCAGGUGGGAGGUAAAGUUAGGCUUUCUCAUAUGUGCGGACCGCCUGGACUCCCUCAAAGCUUAACGUCUGGAGACAGAAAAAAAGAAAAUGCAGUGUAUUAUAAUUACUUGGCAGUUGGCAUUUUGCUGUUGCAAAUAUAAAAUUUUCUCCAAUCCAUGUGAGUCAUAUAAAAUUAGUUAUUGCACAACUGCAAAGACAAGGCGAGGCAGGUUUGCUUGAACACCCUUUAAGAACAGGAUUAUUCAAAGCGCCUUGCAUAAUAAGCCUGAAAUGCUGUGUGGAUCAAAUGGCUCCAUAAAUUGAUAAAUGUAACCACAAUGACGAGGCAAAGCCCGUUUAUUUGUAUUGCAAAUUUCCUAAGACAACUUCCAAGUGCUUUACAUGGUGCAAUAACAGGGAAACACAACAGAACGUGCUCUUACCAUCACCAUCUUCCCAUCCUUGAUUUCUCUGACAAAUCUGGUCUCUUUGCCAUCCCACUUCUGUACUUGCACGAACUUGUCUCCCUCCAUGGUGAAAGUGGACUGCAGGCAGAAUCAAUGUCUUAUUUAGCACCACAGAACAUCUCACAGGAGUAUACUUUAACUUUUGCUCUGCUUACUUUGACAUGACGGUCAUCAGGAGUGGUCUCAUCAAAUUCCUCUCCCAGUUUGGAGGAGAUCUCAGUGUUCCUGAAGGUGCUCAGGGUUUUCACCACCACUUUGUCCCCAUCUUUGCUAAUCACCACUGUUGGUUUGGUGGCGUUGCCCACCGUUCUUGUGGCCAAACCAACACCUGUCCCAGAAAAGAAGGUCUAUCUUUAAUCAUGUAUUUUGCAAAUUGAACCUAUAAGAACAUUUGAUUCUUUAUUUUAUUCUUGUCUAUACCUUAAGUUAAAGUAUUUGAGGAACAUGUACAAAAAGUGUCUCAAAAAGGAAAAUAAAAUGUCUUUUGCUCACCAAGUGCCUUCAUAUAAUCAUCAAAGUUCUGGCUGUCCACCAGUUUCCAUGUAGCGCAGAAAGCAUCAACCAUUUUUGCAGAUGUUAUUGGUCCAGUUCAGCGUAAAACUGCCACACAGUCCUCUGCUCUCUGUACAGUAAAUCCCACAGCCGGUGCAGCGUGUCAGCAUGUCAAAUUAAUACUGCAGCGGGGGGGCGAGGACAUAAACCGCAGCGCACAGCUGAUUGGAUGAGCCAGAUCGUUUGUGGACUGUGAUUGGUCGUCGCAAAGUGUGCUGUUAUUGCUGAAUUAUCAGAGUGUAUCACACAGUGUAUAUAAAUAUACAAAUGGUAUAAAUAAUUAAAGUAGUAAUUUACGCCAGUGACAAAUACAGGAAACAUAUCUUAUCAUUUUUAUUAUCAUUUUUUUCCUCUGGACGCGUGUGUACAGUAUGGAAAGCCAACAGGGCCAUAAAUCCUCACCUCCCAAAUAAGCUUUAAAAAAAGCACUAACAAAUAUAAAACGCUAUAAACUUGUCAUGGUCCGUGUAUAUAUCUGGCAAUUGGAUUUUCCGUUCUGAAACGGGUAUUGAAAAACAAAAAAAGAGUGGUUAUUUGAUUUUCGUUUUAAAAUACAAAAAUUUAAAUUGAAACACAAGGCGUUUUUCCUUUUCAUGAUCAAAAAGGGAUAUACCAAAUUUUAUAAAAUGGUUUGAUUCUCAUUUUAUAUUUAGAAUAACAAAAAUAAAUAAAUCAGUAAGAGACAGAAACGAAAAAAGGUCAGUUUUUUUAAAUUUUCUGAGACCGGAAGUGGUCAUCAGCAAGUGUGGAGCCAAACGACAACAAGAUUCUCAGAGGGCGGAGCCAGAGAGCAGUGAUUGGUCAGACCAUAGAAGACAGCGAGCUAGCGUAUCUAGUCUGCUAUAUAUAUCUAUGGUCGGCACGUGUGGUAGCAUCUCUGGCUGCUGUUGACCUUGUUUUUGGAGUAAAACACGGUGGAAGCUGAAUUAGUGAGGAUGACUCCUGCUCCUGUCAUCUCUAAGCUCCUCACACAUCUUUACCUGCACAUGAGGAAAAUCACUCCUGUAGAAUGCAGAUGUUCAGAGGGAGAUGAUGCCACAUCUGGUCCAGCUGAUGGAAGGUCUUGAAGUUCUCUGACUGGCCUCGACUGAAGAUGGUCGUCUCACUGGAUUUAAGGUUCAGAUGCUCAGUAACAAACUCCACCAAUGUGCCAACAGGGAAGCUUUAGGUUUACUAAAUGUUGCUAUGAAGGUUUCACUGUUUUUCUUUGUGAAUGCAAUGCGCUCCAACUGAAACUUGAAUUAGAAAUUAGAAGUAAAUCCUUCCAUCUGAAAGGAUUUAGUUGCAUUAAUAACCUCUUAACAUUCUAAUUUUUCUUCCAGUCUUGGUUGGAAAUAGAAUCUCUGUAUUGAUUCAGGUAAAAACUGAACUUCACAGCAUGUUGGAGCAAAACAACCAGAUGAAAACUGUGAUGGUGUUGGAUUGUCAGACCGUAAUGUUGCAGCUCAAAGCAGCUUUUCUAGCUCAGUUCAUUGUGACAUUCAGCUAUGAAUCAACACAGCAGAUGGUGAUCCAUGCUGUGGAAGUCUCACAUCUCCUGAUUUAAUGGAGCUGCUUUGCACUUUUUACACUGUUUAUUCACCAACACUUUAUUUAAUAAAAGUCCCAUCUAGUUUUUAUGAGGAAUGUGAUGUUUUAAUUUCUCUGUGAAUAACUGCAGUCUAAUGUAACAGCUGGAAUUGUAACAUCUGUCCUGAUAUUGAUCAUAAAGUAUUGAUCAGAAUACUUAUGGUCAGCAGUCAUCCCUGAAGUUUUAUAUUAAAAUCUUUACUUGUGUUAUGAACUUUGGUAAGAAGCAGAAACUUUAGCAUUGCUAUAGAUAUAUGAGUGUUAAGUUCUGUCCAUGUUUCCAUUUUGGGAAAUGCAGUCCAGCAGAUGAGUUUUUUACUGACAGCUACCAUUCAGUCUGAGAUAUUAAGAAUAAAUAAAUGUGCAUAAUGUGGAAAUGAACAGAUUAUAUUUUUAUUUAUUCCUACAGCUGCUGCUGGUAAAGUUCCAGAAUGUGGAGGAAUUUAGUCUCACAAUCAGACAAUAAAUAUUGUCUGAAAGUCGGGUUAUUGUUGUUUAUCAGCACAUGUUGGACAUAUUCCAGUUAAGACUCUAGAAUAUCAGGAUUUAUGUAAAUUUACCUCAAUAAUAUGAAUGUUCAGGUUAAGAUUGUGCAGUGAUAUUUAUUAUGUAAGUUUAGCUGAUUAAAGUUUAUGACUCUGCACUACAAAAUUAUUUAUUAUUUAAAUUUACAUCAUUAUUAUAAUAUUUAGGGUCAGACCCUACAGUAUUGAGAUUAAGAAAUCAAAUAUUCUAUAAAAUGUAAAUACACUGAACUCAUUUGGAUAUAUUUAAGUGAAACUCUACAAUAUUAUUUGACACAAAUCUAUCUAAAUCAAAAUUUUUAUCAUUUUUACUCCAAACAUUUACUGGACUGAUUUAAAUAUUAAAAUCACUCCUUUCUAAUCCUCUGCUGUACGUUCAAACCUGAGGCCUUAAAUAGAAACACACAAGUAUCUGUUUGAAGGAACUUCUGCAGAGUCCUGGUUCCAGAACAUGAUGAUAGAAUUAUAGACAAACUUUAACAAAAGCUGCCUGAGAGUUUACAGGUUUUUAUGUUGGAUUUCUUCAGUAAUUUAAUGAGCGUUAUCAGCAAAAAUCAAGUGUUCAUUUGAUGAACUUCAUUUCCUAAAACAUCCAGAACUGGAGCUCAUAUCUUUGGCAGCUGUAAAGUUUCUGCUCCUUCAAAGUUCACAACACAAUGAAUUAAUUCCUAAAACACUCUCAAUGCUGGAGAGCGUUUGUGAUGCUGAAGCAGUGACCAGUUUUUCUGUUUCUUCUCUGGAGAUGCACAAUGAGGGACGUCUGCAGAGACUGAGAAAGAGUCUCACCACAUCCUGACAUGAGGAAAAAGACUUUAUUGAAGACUACAAUGAGAAAAACUAUCAGACAGCAGAUGGCAUGCAUUCAAGGUGAGCUCUGAACAUUUGAUCUGGAACAGGAAUUCAAUAACGGCAGCAUGAGCUUCAUUUCAGUCUGUAGCUGCUGAAUUCAUGGAUGAAUCAUCUGGCACUAGAGAAGAAGACCAUCAAACAUCCACGUCAGUUGAUGGAGGUCCAAGAGUCUCACCAAACAAACAACCUACAGAGUGAAGACCUCAAAUCUGAUUGGACGGCCUCCUAUUCAGCCACAUGUGUGAACAAAUGCCUCUAAGCUGAUUUGUUUUCUAAAAUAAAUCUAGUUUGAGUCCUAA